rnacentral:rRNA from 1 species
GACGAACGCUGGCGGCGUGCUUAACACAUGCAAGUCGAACGAUGAUCCCGGAGCUUGCUCUGGGGGAUUAGUGGCGAACGGGUGAGUAACACGUGAGUAACCUGCCCUGGACUCUGGGAUAAGCGUUGGAAACGACGUCUAAUACCGGAUAGGACCUUGGAUCGCAUGAUCUGGGGUGGAAAGUUUUUUCGGUCUGGGAUGGACUCGCGGCCUAUCAGCUUGUUGGUGAGGUAAUGGCUCACCAAGGCGUCGACGGGUAGCCGGCCUGAGAGGGUGACCGGCCACACUGGGACUGAGACACGACGCAGACUCCUGCGGGAGGCAGCAGUGGGGAAUAUUGCACAAUGGGCGAAAGCCUGAUGCAGCAACGCCGCGUGCGGGAUGAAGGCCUUCGGGUUGUCAACCGCUUUUAGUAGGGAAGAAGGGCUUCGGCUUGACGGUACCUGCAGAAAAAGGACCGGCUAACUACGUG